rnacentral:rRNA from 1 species
CGCAUCUGUGCAUGCAGCAUAUCAAUAAGCGGAGGAAAAGAAACUAACAAGGAUUCCCCUAGUAACGGCGAGUGAAGCGGGAAGAGCUCAAAUUUGAAAUCUUAAAGGGUUUCCCUUUACGUAUUGUAGUUUAAAGAAGUGUUUUCUGUUGAGGUUUUGGUAAAAGUUCUUUGGAAUAGGACAUCAUAGAGGGUGAGAAUCCCGUAUUUGACCUUUACUUUCAACUUUGUGAUACACUUUCAAAGAGUCGGAUUGUUUGGGAAUGCAGUCCAAAAUGGGUGGUAAAUUUCAUCUAAAGCUAAAUAUUGGCGAGAGACCGAUAGCGAACAAGUACCGUGAGGGAAAGAUGAAAAGAACUUUGAAAAGAGAGUUAAACAGUACGUGAAAUUGUCAAAAGGGAAGCGUUUGACACCAGUGUUGUUUUUCUGAAAAUCAAUUAAAGAACUGUUUAUGCUAAGCUGUUUAGACUUUAUCAGCUAAUCUGUUUAGUUUUGAGCUUUUCUUUAAUGCACUUUUCAGUUAACAAGUCAACAUCAAUUUCUUUUGCUGUAAAAAAGCUUGAGGAAGGUGGCUUGAGAUUCGUCUUAAGUGUUUAUAGCCUCUUGCCUAUGCAGUCGGAGAGAUUGAGGUCUGCAGCGUAGAUCCUUCGGGGCUAAAUGCAUUUGUGCUAAGUUAUAGCAUUUUAUAGACAACUUGUUGACUAUGAUUUGUCUUGUAGCUUACUCGCUUAUGUUAUUUUACCUACGCUUAGGAUGUUGAAUCUGUGCGAGACUAC